GUGUGUGUGUGUGUGUGUGUGUGUGUGUGUGCGUGCGUGCUUGCGUGUGCGUGAUUAGUACUAGAUAUAUAGAUAAAUGAGGAUUAUUUGUGUUCUAUUGGUUAAGAUGAAUAAAUAAAAACUGAUGAAAUGGA